UCGUUAAACUUUUUGCUUUCGGACUCAACUAGUAAAAACCACUAAAACACAGGGACUCAAAAAGUAAUUUACCCUAAUCUAUAUGUUAAAUAGUUAAUUAUGAAUCAUGAUUAUAAAAAACAUUAUCUUUACAAUAAAAAUCUGUAUUUUAUUAAUACAAAUUAACUCUUUAUAACGAAAUGUGUUAAAAUUGUCACUUCUACUAUAUACACACUCACCAUGUAUUUCUGGACUUCUAAUCAUGUCCAUUAUCGGCUUGUAUAUGUCUACAUAGAAGAUUCUGCUUCCUUUAAGAGACAUCUGUAUUUGAAACCCAAUAGGUGGAAGCCCGGCUAUUAGCAUUGUUCUGCAACCAAGUGUAUGAAGCUCCUGCAGUUCAUCAUACAAGUUUCAGUUUUCACAAACUUUUAUACACGUAAAUGCACAUAUAUGUAUUCACACUAUACAGUUAAUAUCAGUGAUAUAUCACCGAUAUAUCGGUUAUCGGUCACCGAUAUAUCGGUAUUCACACUGUACAGUUAAUAUCGGUGAUAUAUCACCGAUAUAUCGGUUAUCGGUCACCAUGUAAAAUAUCGGAGUCAAAUGUCGGUCAGAAUAUCGGUACCAGUAUUAUUGGCGAUAUUGACCAAUAUUUGACUGAUAUAUCACCGAUUUCCUGAUUUCUUCUUAUUGAUGCUACUAGUGUUUUAAGUCGUAAUUAAUAAUUGUAAGUGCGAAAUGUUAGUGUUUUAAGUCUUAAUCAGUUCCUACUUUCUACAAUUGUUAGUGUU